CUCAUCAAUAAAGUUGAUGAGUUUAACCAGUCUCAUGGCUGGCUAGGGAAAAAAAGAUCCCCCAGUUAGUGAAGUGGAUAAAUAACUUGGCACAAAGUCCUUCUCUGUUGACUCAGUUUACUUUGUGGACCCGGGCACGACUGUCAUAAUAAAUUAAAGCAUGAACAUUCCCAUUUGUCACUUCACCGCUUCCUUUUGCUGCCUUCCAACAUGUGGUAAAGCCAUUAGUUUUAAGAGACAGAAAAGAGCAGAGAGGGACCAAGAAUAGUGCUGGAAUUACGGGGAGAGAGGAGAGGACUUGCAGGGUGCAGUGGAGCAAUUGUGCAUUUACAGGGCAUAAUCUUAUCAAAGGCAUUGGGGUUUAUCAUCUCCCUCUGCAGACACAAAGGAGACUGUGGCUCUUCUGGGACUCACUAUCAACACCUUCCAAGUGCUUAGGGUGGCCCCAAAUCUAAAGGCAGGAGAAGACUCCUCUUGGUCAGGCUGUGUCCCAGGAUUUUAAUGAGCUGUGUCCUGCACUCUCAGGUGUUCCUCGCUGUCUCCUCAGCUCUGCACAGCUUCCCCCUGUUUUCCUGUGCCAUCCUCUGUGGGAAUUUCCUGAGCUAAAGGAGGAUGUGUUCAGAUCAGGCCCGUUGUUGACAAGGUGUGAACAGAUUAAUGGCCAUCCCAUCCCACCUGGCCUACUGGGCUUUCUGGGGAAUCCCCCUCUGAGCUGGAGCCUGCAGGAACUGAGGGUUUCAUCUCUAAAGAGGAGCAGAGUGCCUAAAGGCCCAGCCUCGUUGUGCUGAGGACUCUGCAGACAAAAUGAAGGCACAGUCCCUGCCUUGAAGUGCUUCUCGCCGCGGUACCUUCCCGCUCCGGCGGCAGCGGCUCUCCGAGGAGGAGCAGGGACCGGGACUGGCAGGGGCUGAGCAGCUGAUGCCUUCAUCCAGAGAAAUGGAGCCAUUUUGGGAGCACCAGCACAUCUCCACACUCACCAAGGGGACACUUCCAGGUGCUUUUCUCACUCAUGUGCACAUGCAGCCUCUCCGUGUCUGUACCUGGGCUCCUUAGGUGGUCUUCCAAAACCUCCUUUGCUCCCCCAGCCUCUCCAUCAGUCUUGUCCAGGUGGGAGAAUCUGGAGGCAGGGCUAUCCAAAUAGAGAAGUGAUG
rnacentral:lncRNA from 1 species